CCUACGGGUGGCAGCAGUCGAGAAUCAUUCACAAUGGGGGAAACCCUGAUGGUGCGACGCCGCGUGGGGGAAUGAAGGUCUUCGGAUUGUAAACCCCUGUCAUGUGGGAGCAAAGUAAAAAGAUAGUACCACAAUAGGAAUAGACGGCUAACUAUGGGCCAGCAGCCGCGGGAAUACAGCGGUCUGAAGCGUUGUUCGGAAUUAGUGGGCUUAAAGCGUGCGGAGGCUGUUUUGUAAGUCGUGUGUGAAAGGUGCGGGCUCAACCCGCGGACGGCCCAUGAUACUGCGAGACUAGAGUUCGGGAGGGGGAUCCGGAAUGCUCGGUGUAGCAGUGAAAUGCGUAGAUAUCACGCGGAACACUCGUGGCGAAGGCAGGUUACUGGACAUUAACUGACGCUGAGGCACGAAGGCCAGGGGAGCGAAAGGGAUUAGAUACCCCAGUAGUC
rnacentral:rRNA from 1 species